ACCCGUAUUCAAAAGGGAAACAGCCCAGACCGCCGACUAAGGUCCCGAAUGCUGUACUAAGUGGAAAAGGAUGUAGGACUUCCAAAACAACCAGGAUGUUGGCUCAGAAGCAGCCACCAUUCAAAGAGUGCGUAAUAGCUCACUGGUCGAGAGGCCCUGCGCCGAAAAUAUCCGGGGCUCAAGUACAGAACCGAAGUCGCGGCAUGCGGAGUGUCAUCUACAGAGUAACUGAGAGGGCAGAUGCGAAGGAUUCAGUGUCAGAUGCGAGGAAGAGGAGCGAGUCAUAGCGGUGGUUAUGGCGAGUGACGAUGACGACGCAGAUGGCAGUGAAGACGAGCAGAUGCACUCAGGUGUUCUGUAGAUGACACACCCAUGGGUAGGGGAGCGUUCCAAGUUGGUUGAAGGCGGACCGUAAGGACAGCUGGACGACUUGGAAGUGAGAAUGCUGGUAUGAGUAGCGAAACGAUCCGUGAGAAUCGGAUCCACCGAAAGCCUAAGGGAUCCUGAGCAACGCUCGUCGACUCAGGGUAAGUCGGGACCUAAGCCGAGGCAUAAAGCAUAGGCGAUGGACAACAGGCGAAAAUUCCUGUACUGCAUGAUGUUGUUUGAGGAUGGAGUGACACAGCAAGGAGCUUGAGCGCGCGAUUGGAAAUGCGCGUCGAAGGCGGUAGGCUGAUGUAGAGGCAAAUCCCUGCAUCAAGGCCGAGAACUGAUAGAUAGGAGCGUACUUCGGUACAAUCCAAAUUCAAGCGUACUACACUGUCGAGAAAAGCUUCUAACGAGACAUCAUGUACCCGUACCAAAACCGACACAGGUAGGCGGGGAGAGAAUCCUAAGGUGCGCGGGAAAACCCUCGUUAAGGAACUCGGCAAAAUGCAUCCGUAACUUCGGGAGAAGGAUGGCCGGAGCUGGUGAAGACCUUCGCGGUUGGAGCUGGAGCCGGCGGCAGAAGAGAAGCCCAAGCGACUGUUUACCACAAACACAGGUGCCUGCUAAAGAGAAAUCUGACGUAUAGGUGCUGACACCUGCCCGGUGCUGGAAGGUUAAGAGGAGAUGUCAUCGCAAGAGAAGCAUUGAAUUGAAGCCCCAGUAAACGGCGGCCGUAACUAUAACGGUCCUAAGGUAGCGAAAUUCCUUGUCGGGUAAGUUCCGACCCGCACGAAAGGUGUAACGAUUUGGGCACUGUCUCAACGAGGGACCCGGUGAAAUUGAAAUACCUGUGAAGAUGCAGGUUACCCGCGACUGGACAGAAAGACCCCAUGGAGCUUUACUGCAGCCUGACAUUGAUUUUUGGCAUGUAACGUACAGGAUAGUUGGGAGACGGAGAAGAUAGGCCCCCAGGCUUAUCAGAGUCGCUGUUGGGAUACCAACCUUUAUGUGCUAGGGAUCUAACUCGAGAAGUAACGAAGCUGAGGACAGUAUCAGGUGGGCAGUUUGACUGGGGCGGUCGCCUCCGAAAGAGUAACGGAGGCGUCCAAAGGUUCCCUCAGCGCGGACAGAAAUCGCGCGAAGAGUAUAAAGGCAGAAGGGAGCUUGACUGCGAGACAUACAGGUCGAGCAGGUACGAAAGUAGGGCUUAGUGAUCCGGUGGAAUGAGAGUGGAAUUGCCAUCGCUCAACGGAUAAAAGCUACCCUGGGGAUAACAGGCUAAUCUCUCCCAAGAGUCCAUAUCGACGGGGAGGUUUGGCACCUCGAUGUCGGCUCAUCACAUCCUGGGGCUGAAGCAGGUCCCAAGGGUUGGGCUGUUCGCCCAUUAAAGUGGUACGUGAGCUGGGUUCAGAACGUCGUGAGACAGUUCGGUCCAUAUCCAUCGCGGGCGCAAGAUACAUGAGGGAGACUGCUCCUAGUACGAGAGGACCGGAGUGGACGGACCGCCGGUGUACCAGUUGUUUCGCCAGAAGCACAGCUGGGUAGCUGCGUCCGGAAGGGAUAAACGCUGAAAGCAUCUAAGCGUGAAGCCCGUCCCGAGAUGAAGUAUCUCAUAGCACAAGCUAGUAAGACACCUUGA
rnacentral:rRNA from 1 species